GCCCUAUCAUGGCACUAGCAACAUCUAUUAUAAACAUAGCGUGCAAGCAGACUACGACCCAUGGAUGUAAUAGUAUUAAGGCAUAUGCAAAUUUACCUUUCUAAGGAAAGUCAUAUACAUGUUUUAAUGGUAAUCAUCAUCUUCGCUUCAUUUCUUC